rnacentral:rRNA from 1 species
UACGUAGGGUGCGAGCGUUAAUCGGAAUUACUGGGCGUAAAGCGUGCGCAGGCGGUUUGUUAAGACAGAUGUGAAAUCCCCGGGCUUAACCUGGGAAUGGCGUUUGUUACUGGCAAGCUAGAGUGUGUCAGAGGGAGGUAGAAUUCCACGUGUAGCAGUGAAAUGCGUAGAGAUGUGGAGGGAUACCGAUGGCGAAGGCAGCCUCCUGGGAUAACACUGACGCUCAUGCACGAAAGCGUGGGGAGCAAACAGGAUUAGAUACCCUGGUAGUCCACGCCCUAAACGAUGUCAACUGGUUGUUGGGUGACUUGAUCACUUAGUAACGUAGCUAACGCGAGAAGUUGACCGCCUGGGGAGUACGGUCGCAAGAUUAAA